AUUGAACGCUGGCGGCAGGCCUAACACAUGCAAGUCGAACGAGUGGCGGACGGGUGAGUAAUGUCUGGGAAACUGCCUGAUGGAGGGGGAUAACUACUGGAAACGGUAGCUAAUACCGCAUACCAUCAGAUGUGCCCAGGUGGGAUUAGCUUGUUGGUGGGGUAACGGCUUACCAAGGCGACGAUCCCUAGCUGGUCUGAGAGGGUGACCAGCCACACUGGAACUGAGACACGGUCCAGACUCCUACGGGAGGCAGCAGUGGGGAAUAUUGCACAAUGGGCGAAAGCCUGAUGCAGCCAUGCCGCGUGUAUGAAGAAGGCCUUCGGGUUGUAAAGUUCUUUCAGCGGGGAGGCGUUACCUGCAGAGGAAGCACCGGCUAACUCCGUGCCAGCAGCCGCGGUAAUUC
rnacentral:rRNA from 1 species